rnacentral:lncRNA from 1 species
CCGGACUUCUAAAAUUAUGAAGUUACGGUGUACAUUUGGUUUGAAAGCCAUUUGAAUGAUUCCGGUGAGGUUGCGGUGAAAUGUAAUAUACCGAAUUUUAAAUAUAAAAAUAAAAAUAAAUAAAAAUAGUGUGAGAUACUAUUUUUAUUCGAUUUAGAGGAGUAAAAUAUAAGUCAGAAGUGACUUGUGCUGAAAUCAGAAUGAAAACAGAAGAUGUAGAAUUUUCUGUUGGAAACGGGACAGAUAAGUAGGCAGAAAAUGCACAGUCUCAGAAAAUUAUGAAAAUUGGAGGAUAAAUCAAAAAUAUUUUUAUGAGACUAGAUUUAAAGUUUCAUAUUUUUCUGACACCCGUAGAGUGAGAAAUAAAAUCUGACAGCUAUCUGAUAAAGAUUACAGUUCGGUACAGUUUUCAGUGACCAAACGGGGUCGAAACUGAAAACUUAAGAUAUAUUCUUACUCAGUACGUUAAACCGAGGCUACCUAUCAAAUUUGAGCCCAAACGGACAUUCAGAAGGGCUCCAACUAUUCCGAACUGCUAAAACUGCCUGGAAUGAAUAGU